rnacentral:rRNA from 1 species
GACGAACGCUGGCGGCGUGCUUAACACAUGCAAGUCGAACGGAAAGGCCCUGCUUUUGUUGGGUGCUCUAGUGGCGAACGGGUGAGUAACACGUGAGUAACCUGCCCUUGACUUUCGGAUAACUUCAGGAAACUGGGGCUAAUACCUGAUAGGAGCUCCUGCUGCAUGGUGGGGGUUUGAAAGUUUCGGCGGUUGGGGAUGGACUCGCGGCUUAUCAGCUUGUUGGUGGGGUAGUGGCUUACCAAGGCUUUGCCGGGUAGCCGGACUGAGAGGGGGACCGGCAACAUUGGGACAGAGAUACGGCACAGACUACUAAGGGAGGCAGAAGUGGGGAAGAUUGAAUGAUGGGCGGAAGCCGGAUGCAGCAACGCCGCGUGCGGGAUGACGGCCUUCGGGUUGUAAACCGCUAUCGCCUGUGACGAAGCGUGAGUGACGGUAAUGGGUAAAGAAGCACCGGCUAACUACGUG